rnacentral:rRNA from 1 species
AUUGAACGCUGGCGGCAUGCCUUACACAUGCAAGUCGAACGGCAGCACGGGGGCAACCCUGGUGGCGAGUGGCGAACGGGUGAGUAAUGCAUCGGAACGUGUCCUCUUGUGGGGGAUAACCAGUCGAAAGAUUGGCUAAUACCGCAUGAGAUCGAGAGAUGAAAGCGGGGGACCCGAGGGCAACUUCGGGCCUCGCGCGAGAGGAGCGGCCGAUGCCGGAUAGCUAGUUGGUGGGGUAAAAGCCUACCAAGGCGACGAUCCGUAGCUGGUCUGAGAGGACGACCAGCCACACUGGGACUGAGACACGGCCCAGACUCCUACGGGAGGCAGCAGUGGGGAAUUUUGGACAAUGGGCGCAAGCCUGAUCCAGCCAUGCCGCGUGUGUGAAGAA